rnacentral:lncRNA from 1 species
GGCACGAGUCUGCUACAAAAUAGCUGAGACAAAACAAUGUACCUCAAAAUGUUUUGCAGGACUACACUGUCUUUUCCUUCAGAAGGUGCUUUAGUAUGUCUUCUUACUUGGCUUAGUUCCAUCUUCAUCUGUGCAUACUUACGCUGCACUUCAGAUUUAAUGUCUUCACUGGUCCCAUUGACCUCAUUCUUAGUAUCACUCUCCUUCGAGUCUGUAUUUGUGUCUUCACUCUGUUUUUCUCGACUACUGGACUUCACACUACUUUUUUUAUCAUCAGAUCCCCUCUUUUCUUUUUCCUUUGACUUCCUGUCUUGUUCUCUCUCUCUGCUUUUGCUUCUGUGCUUAUAAGAUUUCCGAUCACGGCUUUUUGAUCGCCUCCUGUCCCGGCUGCGAGACCUAUGUUUUCUUUCUGAUCUAUCAUGGCUUCUGCUUCUUCUUCGGUCACGACUCCUGCUUCGCCUUCUUUCUCUGCUUCUUGAUCUCUUGUGGUCUCGUGAACGGCUGCACCUUCUGUCAGACGUUCUGCUCGAAUGCCUGCUCCGGGAGCGGCUCCUCUUACGCCUCUCUCUAUCACGGGCCCUCUCUUUUUCUUUUUCUUCCUCUUCACGCCUUCUCUUCCUUUCCCGCUCUUCUCUCUCUCGUUCCCUCUCUUUCUCUCUCUCUUCUCGUUCUUGUUUCUCUUUCUUUAACCUGUCAUCACGGUCAGGCUCUUCUGUUCUUUUUCUUAACUUUUCUUUUAAAUCUUCUACAGUAGCUUUUAUUUUGGCGUAACCCAUGUGCUGCUUUCCCAUCAAAUGGUCGUCUACCCUGGACUGUGCAUCUCCU